rnacentral:rRNA from 1 species
UCAAGUGACUAAGUGUAUGUGGUGGAUGCCUUGGCGAUCACAGGCGAAGAAGGACGUAGUAGCUUGCGAUAAGCUGCGGGGAGCCGGCAAACGGGCAUUGAUCCGCAGAUUUCCGAAUGGGGGAACCCACCGACGUAAGUCGGUAUCACACACUGAAUACAUAGGUGUGUGAGGCGAACGGAGCGAACUGAAACAUCUAAGUAGCUCCAGGAAAAGAAAUCAACCGAGAUUGCGAAAGUAGCGGCGAGCGAAAUCGCAGCAGCCCAGUGUUCUGAUAGCACGAACGACAGCAGAAGGGUCUGGAAAGGCCUGCUAUAGAGGGUGAUAGCCCCGUAUGCGAAAUCGGACGUGUGGUACUAAGGAACCGAUAAGUAGGGCGGGACACGUGACAUCCUGUCUGAAGAUGGGGGGACCAUCCUCCAAGGCUAAAUACUCGUGAUCGACCGAUAGUGAACCAGUACUGUGAAGGAAAGGCGAAAAGAACCCCGGGAGGGGAGUGAAAUAGAACCUGAAACCGCAUACAUACAAACAGUAGGAGCCCCUGCAGUGGGGUGACUGCGUACCUUUUGCAUAAUGGGUCAGCGACUUACGUUUUGUGGCGAGCUUAACCGAGUAGGGGAGGCGUAGCGAAAGCGAGUUCGAAUAGAGCGAGAAGUCUCAAGGCGUAGACCCGAAACCAGAUGAGCUAUCCAUGGCCAGGUUGAAGGUGUGGUAACACACACUGGAGGACCGAACCGACUAGUGUUGCAAAAUUAGCGGAUGAGCUGUGGAUAGGGGUGAAAGGCUUAACAAAUCUGGAGAUAGCUGGUUCUCCCCGAAAACUAUUGAGGUAGUGCCUCGUGUAUUGCUCCAGGGGGUAGAGCACUGUUAUGGCUAGGGGGACAUGGCGUCUUACCAAACCAUGGCAAACUCCGAAUACUUGGAAGUAAGAGCACGGGAGACAGAGCACCGGGUGCUAACGUCCGGACUCAAGAGGGAAACAACCCAGACCGCCGUUUAAGGUCCCAAAUAUUGACUAAGUGGAAAACGAAGUGUGAAGGCUAAGACAGUCAGGAAGUUGGCUUAGAAGCAGCCAUCCUUCAAAGAAAGCGUAAUAGCUCACUGAUCGAGUCCUCAUGCGCGGAAGAUGUAACGGGGCUAAGUCAAUAACCGAAAGCGCGGAUUUGCACGAUAAGUGCAAGUGGUAGGGGAGCGUUCUGUAAGCCUGCGAAGGCGGAUCUGCGAGGACCGCUGGAGGUAUCAGAAGUGCGAAUGCUGACAUGAGUAACGUUAAAGCGGGUGAAAAGCCCGCUCGCCGUAAGCCCAAGGUUUCCUGCUCUACGUUCAUCGGAGCAGGGUGAGUCGGCCCCUAAGGCCAGGCUGAGAAGCGUAGUCGAUGGGAAGCAGAUUAAUAUUUCUGCACCAUGUGCAAGUGCGAUGGGGGGACGGAGUGCGAAAGAUCAUCCGGGUGUUGGAUGUCCCGGUUUGCGAGUGUAGAAGGCCGACAGGCAAAUCCGUCGGCGGAUCUUCGAGACAAAGCAUCGAGGUUCUACGGAACCGAAGUGAUCGGAAGUGCUUCCAGGAAAAGCCUCUAAGCUCCAGCUUGCAUGUGACCGUACCGUAAACCGACACUGGUGGGCGAGUUGAAUAUACUCAGGCGCUUGAGAGAACUCGGGAGAAGGAACUCGGCAAAUUGACACCGUAACUUCGGGAUAAGGUGUGCCUUUGUAGUGUGAAGGGAGAAACACCCCGAGCAUGAAGAGGCCUCAGAGAAUCGGUGGCUGCAACUGUUUACUAAAAACACAGCACUCUGCAAAGAUGAAAGUCGACGUAUAGGGUGUGAUGCCUGCCCGGUGCUGGAAGAUUAAUUGAUGGGGUGCAAGCUCCUGAUCGAAGUCCCAGUAAACGGCGGCCGUAACUAUAACGGUCCUAAGGUAGCGAAAUUCCUUGUC